AACGAACGCUGGCGGCAUGCCUAACACAUGCAAGUCGAACGAGACCUUCGGGUCUAGUGGCGCACGGGUGCGUAACGCGUGGGAACCUGCCCUUAGGUUCGGAAUAACUCCCCGAAAGGGGUGCUAAUACCGGAUAAUGUCUUCGGACCAAAGAUUUAUCGCCUUUGGAUGGGCCCGCGUUGGAUUAGCUAGUUGGUAGGGUAAAAGCCUACCAAGGCGACGAUCCAUAGCUGGUCUGAGAGGAUGAUCAGCCACACUGGGACUGAGACACGGCCGAGACUCCUACGGGAGGCAGCAGUGGGGAAUAUUGGACAAUGGGCGAAAGCCUGAUCCAGCAAUGACGCGUGAGUGAUGAAGGCCUUAGGGUUGUAAAGCUCUUUUACCCGGGAUGAUAAUGACAGUACCGGGAGAAUAAGCUCCGGCUAACUCCGUG
rnacentral:rRNA from 1 species